AUUGAACGCUGGCGGCAUGCCUUACACAUGCAAGUCGAACGGCAGCGCGGGCGUCGGCCUGGCGGCGAGUGGCGAACGGGUGAGUAAUGCAUCGGAACGUGCCCAGUAGUGGGGGAUAGCCCAGCGAAAGCCGGAUUAAUACCGCAUACGACCUGAGGGUGAAAGCGGGGGACCGAAAGGCCUCGCGCUAUUGGAGCGGCCGAUGUCGGAUUAGCUAGUUGGUGGGGUAAAGGCUUACCAAGGCGACGAUCCGUAGCUGGUCUGAGAGGACGACCAGCCACACUGGGACUGAGACACGGCCCAGACUCCUACGGGAGGCAGCAGUGGGGAAUGUUGGACAAUGGGGGCAACCCUGAUCCAGCCAUGCCGCGUGCGGGAAGAAGGCCUUCGGGUUGUAAAUCGCUUUUGUUCGGGAAGAAAUCCUCUGGGCUAAUACCCCGGGGGGAUGACGGUACCGGAAGAAUAAGCACCGGCUAACUACGUG
rnacentral:rRNA from 1 species